rnacentral:rRNA from 1 species
AGAGUUUGAUCCUGGCUCAGGACGAACGCUGGCGGCGCGCCUAACACAUGCAAGUCGAACGGAGCUUAGAGAGCUUGCUUUUUAAGCUUAGUGGCGAACGGGUGAGUAACGCGUGAGUAACCUGCCCUAGAGUGGGGGACAACAGUUGGAAACGACUGCUAAUACCGCAUAAGCCCACGGUACCGCAUGGUACUGAGGGAAAAGGAUUUAUUCGCUUUAGGAUGGACUCGCGUCCAAUUAGCUAGUUGGUGAGGUAACGGCCCACCAAGGCGACGAUUGGUAGCCGGACUGAGAGGUUGAACGGCCACAUUGGGACUGAGACACGGCCCAGACUCCUACGGGAGGCAGCAGUGGGGAAUAUUGCACAAUGGGGGAAACCCUGAUGCAGCGACGCCGCGUGGAGGAAGAAGGUCUUCGGAUUGUAAACUCCUGUUGUUGAGGAAGAUAAUGACGGUACUCAACAAGGAAGUGACGGCUAACUACGUGCCAGCAGCCGCGGUAAAACGUAGGUCACAAGCGUUGUCCGGAAUUACUGGGUGUAAAGGGAGCGCAGGCGGGAAGACAAGUUGGAAGUGAAAUCUAUGGGCUCAACCCAUAAACUGCUUUCAAAACUGUUUUUCUUGAGUAGUGCAGAGGUAGGCGGAAUUCCCGGUGUAGCGGUGGAAUGCGUAGAUAUCGGGAGGAACACCAGUGGCGAAGGCGGCCUACUGGGCACCAACUGACGCUGAGGCUCGAAAGUGUGGGUAGCAAACAGGAUUAGAUACCCUGGUAGUCCACACCGUAAACGAUGAUUACUAGGUGUUGGAGGAUUGACCCCUUCAGUGCCGCAGUUAACACAAUAAGUAAUCCACCUGGGGAGUACGACCGCAAGGUUGAAACUCAAAGGAAUUGACGGGGGCCC